UACGUAGGGUGCAAGCGUUAAUCGGAAUUACUGGGCGUAAAGCGUGCGCAGGCGGUGAUGUAAGACAGUUGUGAAAUCCCCGGGCUCAACCUGGGAACUGCAUCUGUGACUGCAUUGCUGGAGUGCGGCAGAGGGGGAUGGAAUUCCGCGUGUAGCAGUGAAAUGCGUAGAUAUGCGGAGGAACACCGACGGCGAAGGCAAUCCCCUGGGCCUGCACUCGACGCUCAUGCACGAAAGCGUGGGGAGCAAACAGG
rnacentral:rRNA from 1 species